UACGUAGGGGGCGAGCGUUGUCCGGAGUUACUGGGCGUAAAGGGCAUGCAGGCGGUCGGACGCGUUUCGGGUGACAGCGGGUGGCUUAACUACCCGAGUGGUCGAAAGACGGUUUGACUUGAGGACGUGAGAGGGACACGGAAUUCCGGGUGGAGUGGUGAAAUGCGCAGAUAUCAGGAGGAACACCGGUGGCGAAGGCGAGUCUCUGGGCCGAUACUGACGGCUGAGGAGCGAAAGCGGUGGGGAGCGAACAGG
rnacentral:rRNA from 1 species